rnacentral:snRNA from 1 species
AUUGCUUCUCGGCCUUUUGGCUAAGAUCAAGUAUAGUAUCUGUUCUUAUCAGUUUAAUAAAUGACCAUAAGUCUUUUGGGGAAAGGACUAGGAAAAUCACCACCCAUG